GCAUACUUUCUGCUCGCCCACCAUGUACAGGCAAGCUGAUGCCCUCUGAGGGUUUCUGGAACAAAGAAGACAAGAAAAUGAACCUGAUAUCCAAUGGGUGACGGGACAGCGAUGAAAAUGUGUGGCUUCUCUGUCUUCAGCCUGCGUCUGUCUUAACCACCAGGCCAGGAUCUACUCAAUUCCACACGCAGACACGUUGACAAUCAAGAAUUUUUUCAUAUACUGUGAACUUGACCUAGCUUCUCUACUCCUUAUUCCAAUGCUAAAGAUACCUACCUGCAGCCGUGACUAGAGCGAGAAGGCCGCGAAAAGUGGUAGCAACCUAGUUCCUGGUUACUACUGCCAGUCCCAGGGAAGACCCGGAAGUCCCUCCCCUUUCUUAGCCCAUCUCUAUCCCUCAGGAUUCCUAUGCGCUAUCUGAACCGCCUCAACUCUCUUCUGUUCCUGAAGUUAGUUCAGGAGCAGAAGGUCCGCACCUCUGUUGUUGGGUCACUGGACAUAGCUCCUGUACCUGGACUCCCGGCAUAAGGACUUUGUUAGUCUUGGGUCUCUUAGACUUUUACAUGGAUGCUGCAGCUGCGUCUGUCGUUUCUUUUGCUGAGGAGAUGGCUAGGGUGAGGGAUCGGAGCAGUCCAAGUGUUGGGGUUUAUGGACUGAGAACUAAGUGACUAGAGGUAAACCUCAGGAAACCAAACCGAAGCGGGAUGGGAGAGAGGGCAGAAUUCCAGGCUCAGAGUCUGUACUUAGUUGAGAGUUCUCUAGUCUCAAACUCAGGUAGACUAAGCACCUUAUCGAGACAUUGCCCCGUUUCAAGCUCCCAGGCUAUAAAAUGUAUUCGUCUGCUUUACAAAAUGCCCCGUGAACUCACUAAGAAAUGCAGAGCAGAUGCUGAUCUCUGAAUUAGUCCCUGAUGAUGCGCUAAUGGAGAAGGGGAGAAAAGGGCCCUUCUUAAGUAGAAAGAGGCACUUUACCCGCACCUCUUACAUUAUAGAAGGACUUUAAUGCAUUGGUCUCUCGAAUACUGAGAAUUUUAAUGAAAUAAAUUCCCAAACUUCUAAGCCGCCAAGAGCACAGGCCACGCACGCACCCUGUUUUCCACACCGAUCUUGCUCAUUUAACCCCAUCUUGUUGCAUCCACACUCCUUACUACUUGGUCACCAGCCUUUGUUCCCUGGAGACUGUAGCACCUGGUCCUCCGUUCUUCAGGGUGUACACUGACAGCCUUAUCUUCAAUGUCAGUCUCCUCCGCUCUGCUUUGAACUCUCUGUCUCAUAUGGAUCCGGGAGGGACCCACCAUCUCUAGAAAGAAUCCAAAUUAAAAUAAAACCCAAGAGUGUUCCCU
rnacentral:lncRNA from 1 species